rnacentral:rRNA from 1 species
CAAUAGCGUAUAUUAAAGUUGUUGCAGUUAAAAAGCUCGUAGUUGGAUUUCUGAAUUGAAUAUCCGGUCCGCUCGUCUCUGAUGAGUGCGUACUUAUGGAUAUUGGAUUCAUUUUUUGUGAGGACAUUUAUCUGUCAUUAAGUUGAUGGAUUUAUAGACUUGCAUCGUUUACUGUGAAAAAAUUAGAGUGUUUAAAGCAGGCGUUCGCCCAUUUGAAUACAUUAGCAUGGAAUAAUAAGAUAUGACUUUGGUGGUCUAUUUUGUUGGUUUGCACACCAGAGUAAUGAUUAAUAGGGACAGUUGGGGGUAUUCAUAUUUCAACGUCAGAGGUGAAAUUCUUAGAUCGUUGAAAGAUGACCUUAGGCGAAAGCAUUUACCAAGGAUGUUUUCAUUGA